GAUGAACGCUAGCUACAGGCUUAACACAUGCAAGUCGAGGGGCAGCGGGAUUGAAGCUUGCUUCAAUUGCCGGCGACCGGCGCACGGGUGAGUAACGCGUAUCCAACCUUCCGUACAUUCAGGGAUAGCCUUUCGAAAGAAAGAUUAAUACCUGAUGGUAUGAUGAGAUUGCAUGAUAUCAUCAUUAAAGAUUUAUCGGUUUACGAUGGGGAUGCGUUCCAUUAGGUAGUAGGCGGGGUAACGGCCCACCUAGCCAACGAUGGAUAGGGGUUCUGAGAGGAAGGUCCCCCACAUUGGAACUGAGACACGGUCCAAACUCCUACGGGAGGCAGCAGUGAGGAAUAUUGGUCAAUGGACGAGAGUCUGAACCAGCCAAGUAGCGUGAAGGAUGAAGGUCCUACGGAUUGUAAACUUCUUUUAUAAGGGAAUAAACCCUCCCACGUGUGGGAGCUUGUAUGUACCUUAUGAAUAAGCAUCGGCUAACUCCGUG
rnacentral:rRNA from 1 species